rnacentral:rRNA from 1 species
UACGUAGGAGGCAAGCGUUGUCCGGAAUUACUGGGUGUAAAGCGCGUGUAGGUGGUGGGCCAAGUCUGUGGUGAAAUCGCCCGGCUCAACUGGGCGAGGUCCGUGGAAACUGGUCGACUGGAGGACGGUAGAGGCGAGUGGAAUUCCCGGUGUAGUGGUGAAAUGCGUAGAGAUCGGGAGGAACACCAGUGGCGAAGGCGGCUCGCUGGGCCGGUCCUGACACUGAGGCACGAAAGCUAGGGGAGCAAACAGG